UACAGAGGGUGCGAGCGUUAAUCGGAAUUACUGGGCGUAAAGCGUGCGUAGACGGUUAUUUAAGUCGGGUGUGAAAGCCCCGGGCUCAACCUGGGAAUUGCAUUCGAGACUGAAUAGCUAGGGUACGGUAGAGGGAAGCGGAAUUUCCGGUGUAGCGGUGAAAUGCGUAGAUAUCGGAAGGAACAUCAGUGGCGAAAGCGGCUUCCCAUGG
rnacentral:rRNA from 1 species